GCCACUUUAGCUCAGCUGGUAGAGCAACUGAUUUGUAAUCAGUAGGUCACUGGUUCGAUCCCGGUAAGUGGCUCCA
rnacentral:tRNA from 1 species